GAAAGAGGAAUAUCUCCUGAUACUAAAACAUACAACAUCUUCCUAUCUCUUUAUGCUAAUGCAGGUAAGAUUGAUAGGGCUCUUCAGUGGUAUAGAAAGAUAAGAAGGACGGGACUUUUCCCUGAUGCUGUGACUUGUAGGGCUAUUAUUCGAACACUAUGCAAGCAAAAUAUGGUCCAGGAGGUUGAAAAUGUGAUUAGUGAAAUUGAAAGA
rnacentral:misc_RNA from 1 species